CAAUAGCGUAUAUUUAAGUUGCUGCAGUUAAAAAGCUCGUAGUUGGAUUUCGGGUGGGAAUGGCCGGUCCGCCGUUUCGGUGUGCACUUGCUACGCCCACCUUGCUGCCGGGGACGUGCUCUUGAGUUCACGCUCGGGACACGGAGUCGGCGAGGUUACUUUGAGUAAAUUAGAGUGUUCAAAGCAGGCCUACGCUCUGAAAACAUUAGCAUGGAAUAACACGAUAGGACUCUGGCCUAUCUUGUUGGUCUGUAGGACCGGAGUAAUGAUUAAGAGGGACAGUCGGGGGCAUUCGUAUUUCAUUGUCAGAGGUGAAAUUCUUGGAUUUAUGAAAGACGAACUACUGCGAAAGCAUUUGCCAAGGAUGUUUUCAUUAA
rnacentral:rRNA from 1 species